rnacentral:rRNA from 1 species
AUUGAACGCUGGCGGCAGGCUUAACACAUGCAAGUCGAGCGGGGACUUCGGUCCUAGCGGCGAACGGGUGAGGAAUGCUUGGGAAUCUGCCCAGUAGCGGGGGAUAACGUUUCGAAAGGAACGCUAAUACCGCAUACGCCCUACGGGGGAAAGGGGGGGAUCUUCGGACCUCUCACUAUUGGAUGAGCCCAAGUCGGAUUAGCUAGUUGGUGGGGUAAAGGCCUACCAAGGCGACGAUCCGUAGCUGGUCUGAGAGGAUGAUCAGCCACACUGGAACGGAGACACGGUCCAGACUCCUACGGGAGGCAGCAGUGGGGAAUAUUGGACAAUGGGCGAAAGCCUGAUCCAGCCAUGCCGCGUGUGUGAAGAAGGCCUUCGGGUUGUAAAGCACUUUAAGCGAGGAGGAAUGGCUCUUGGUUAAUAACCUUGAGCAGUGACGUUACUCGCAGAAUAAGCACCGGCUAACUCUGUGCCAGCAGCAGCCGCCGUAA